rnacentral:rRNA from 1 species
GAUGAACGCUAGCUACAGGCUUAACACAUGCAAGUCGAGGGGCAUCAUGAUCUUAGCUUGCUAAGAUUGAUGGCGACCGGCGCACGGGUGAGUAACGCGUAUCCAACCUUCCCUAUAGUAGAGAAUAGCCCGGCGAAAGUCGAAUUAAUGCUCUAUGUUCUUCUUUGAUGGCAUCUGACGAGAAGCAAAGGUUCACCGCUAUAGGAUGGGGAUGCGUCUGAUUAGCUUGUUGGCGGGGUAACGGCCCACCAAGGCGACGAUCAGUAGGGGUUCUGAGAGGAAGGUCCCCCACAUUGGUACUGAGACACGGACCAAACUCC